rnacentral:tRNA from 1 species
GUAAUCAUUUGAAAUGAAAAGAUAAGGUGCGGAUUGCAAAUCCGUUUACAGCGGUUCGAUUCCGCUUGAGGCCUCCA